rnacentral:rRNA from 1 species
UACCAGCACCCCGAGUGGUCGGGACGAUUAUUGGGCCUAAAGCAUCCGUAGCCGGUCAUGCAGGUCCUCCGUUAAAUCCACCUGCUUAACAGAUGGGCUGCGGAGGAUACUACAAGGCUAGGAGGCGGAAGAGGCAAGCGGUACUCAGUGGGUAGGGGUAAAAUCCUCUGAUCCAUUGAAGACCACCAGUGGCGAAGGCGGCUUGCCAAUACGCGCUCGACGGUGAGGGAUGAAAGCUGGGGGAGCAAACCGG